GUGAAUCAUCGAAUCUUUGAACGCAAAUUGCACUCCCUGGUAUUCCGGGGAGUAUGCCUGUUUGAGGGUCGUUAAAAUAAAAAAGCGAUGCUUCGCUCUUUUUGUUUGGCGUGAUCGCGUCGGAGUUGAGCCGUCUUUCAAAUUGUAAGUCAUCUCAAAGUGUCUGAACGUUCAUCCAUCCCGUACUAGUAA
rnacentral:misc_RNA from 1 species